UGAAAGAAAUGUUGAGGGUUGCAGAGGCUGAAAACCAAAGAAAAAAGGAAGAAACAGAGAACAAAGACGUUUUGGGUGCUAACUUUCCAAUGCAGUUUUAUUAUUCUGAUUGUCUCAUUAACCUUACAAUGAAGAAACAGAAGGAAUAUAUAUACACGUAUCAAGGCUGAUGAGUCAGCCUUUCCCAUGCAAAAGGAAAUUAUUCCCACACCAGCAGCAUGGUUAACUAAGUUGUUAUAAAGGAAAAGAAUGCAUAACUGACUGUAGCUGAAAAACAGGGAAAACUAAUCAUCCUUUUUCUUUUAACAACUUUGCAUCCUCGUCCUUAUUCUUUAACAUCCCCCCGCAAGAUGGAGCAUAGUAGUUGACAAUGCCCAUCUUGGACAUAUGAAAAGAUAAUAGAUAGGCAGGUAAUGCUUUUGUGAAAACAUCUGCUAGUUGACACUUUGUAGAAACAUAUGCAGUCGAUAAGACACCUGCUUGGAUUUUGUCACGAAUAAGGUGACAAUCUAACUCAAUAUGCUUGGUUCUUUCGUGGAAAACAGGAUUCGAAGCAAUGUGUAAUGCAGCUUUGUUGUCACAGUAUAACACAGCGGGAUGAGGAUGAUUUAUGCGAAGAUCUGUUAGAAGAAAACUCAACCAAGUAAUUUCUGAGCUAGUGAUGGCCAUGGCACGAUACUCAGCUUCUGCUGAUGAACGGGAGACCACUGAUUGCUUCUUUGAUUUCCAAGAGAUUAAGGAUGAACCAAGGAAUAUGCAGAAACCAGAAACAGAACGUCUGGUGUCAGGAUAGGAUGCCCAGUCUGAAUCACAAUAUGCCGUGAUGUCCAGGUUAUGCUCAGAAGAAAAGAAAAGACCCUGCCCUGGAGCUCCUUUGAUGUAUUUCAGGAUCUUGAAAGCUGCAGCUAAGUGAAAAUCAGUGGGAUGAUCCAUGAAUUGACUGAGAGUUUGGACACUAUAAGAAAUGUCUGGCCUUGUUAUGGUCAAGUAUAAAAGUUUUCCAACAAGCUGCCUGUAGUAAGUAGAAUCAGAUAGAGGGGUGCCCUCCUCUUUACUGAGCUUUAAGUUUUGAUCCAUAGGGAGCUUAGAAGGUCGAGACCCGAGAACGCCAAAGGUAGCUAGAAUAUCUAAAGCAUAUUUCCUCUGACAAAUCUGUAUUCCUUGUGAUGUUCUGGCAAUUUCAAGUCCUAGAAAAUACCUCAAUUGUCCCAAAUCUUUGAUUUUGAAUUGAUGGUUAAGAAAUACUUUAAUAUCUUUGACAACAGCAGGAGAGUCACUAGCUACGAUAAUAUCAUCAACAUAGACGAGUAGUGCUGUGAACGAUUGAUUGUCUUGCUUGAUGAACAAACUAUAAUCUGCUUUGGACUGAUAAAAACCGAACUGAAGUAAAGAGGUAGAGAAUUUAGAGUACCAUUGUCGUGAGGCCUGUUUUAACCCGUAAAGACUCUUAAGUAGUCUGCAAACUUGAUGAGAUUGACCUUGGGUGUAUCCAGGAGGACGUUUCAUGUAUAUUUCUUCCUGUAAGUCUCCAUGAAGAAAAGCGUUGUUGACAUCAAACUGAUACAGGCCCCAACCUUUCACAGCAGCUAUGGCCAAGAGACAACGCACUGUAACAAGCUUAGCAACAGGAGAGAAAGUUUCGUGAUAGUCAAUACCUUCUUCUUGGGUGUAACCCUUGGCCACCAACCUUGCCUUAUAUCUUUCAAUGCUGCCAUCAGAAUUGUACUUUAUCUUAUAGACAUAUUUGCAGGCAAUAGGUCUCUUUCCAGCAGGCAGAUCAGUCAUGAUCCAGGUCUGGUUAGCCUCCAAAGCUUUCAAUUCAUCCUCCAUGGCCAUGCGCCAAUGGGGGUCAGUAACAGCUUGAGCAUAUGUUUGUGGUUCGGUGUGAGAAGAAAUGGAAGCAGAGAAAACUUGAAAGGGUAAGGAGAAUUUAUUGUAUGAAAGGUAGUUACUCAAAUGAACUGCGUUACCUGAAGGAGCCUCAGCUGUUGUGUCUUGGAUUGAAUUGGAUGAAUUGAAGGAAGCCAGUUGACAAUGAAAAUCCUGUAAGUAUUUGGGAGCCUGUUUCAUCCUGGCAGAUUUGCGAACAUGAAGAGGAGGGGUAGGAGUUUGUGAUAUGUGAGGUGAAGAAGAAACAAAGUCUGAAGGUUGUGAGUCAGGCUGAAUAUAUAUGUCUUGAGUGUCAGGAGAAAUAUUCACAUCUGAAGAUAAGUUGGUGGAAGUGGUAGGUGAAAGAGGAGUGUCAGGUAUGUGAUUUUGUAAAGGUUCUAUAGUGGAAGAAGAGCGAGUAUCAGAUGGUUGAGGCUGGGUCAGAGGAAGUAGUGUAUGAGAAGGAAGAGGUUCUGGUACAGGCAGUUUAAAAGGGAAAAUUUGUUCGUGGAAUAUCACAUCUCUAGAUAAAAGGAUUUCAUGUGUUUCUAAAUCUACCAACUUAUAGCCUUUUACUCCAAAAGGAUAACCAAGAAAGGCGCAUUUUCUUGCUCGAGAAUCAAAUUUCUUUCUGCCCUGACCUAUGGUAGUUGCAAAACAAAGGCAUCCAAAGACUCGCAGGUGAUGAUAUGUGGGAUCAGUGUGAAAAAUGGCUUCAUAAGGUGUUCUGUUGUGUAAUAUAGGGGUAGGAAUGCGGUUGAUAAUAUAGGUGGCAGUGAGGACACAAUCAUUCCAGAACUCAAGAGGUAGACUAGCUUGGAAUCUAAGAGCUCUAGCAACAUUUAAGAUAUGUUGAUGUUUUCUCUCAACUAUUCCAUUCUGUUGGGGGGUUUCUACACAGGUUCUUUGAUGAAUGAUGCCAUUUUUAUGGAAGAAGUCUUGCAUGUGAAAUUCGGCUCCAUUAUCACUUCUUAGAUACUUAAUCUUAGCUCCAAAUUGAGUGUGAAUAAGGUUGCAAAAUGAUUCUAUGAAUUUCCGUGUGUCUGAUUUAUAUCUAAGCAAAUAUACCCAGGUGCUACGAGACAAGUCAUCAACAAUGGUCAAGAAGUAUCUACUCCCAUCAUAAGCUGCAACAGAACAUGGCCCCCAUAGAUCACAGUGUAUAAGUUCAAAAUUGAAAGAAGAUUUGUGUAGGCUUUGAUUAAAAGGGAGUCUAUGCUGCCUUGCCAAAGGACAAAUUGAACAAGGAACUUCAUUAAUAGUAGAACGUGUGGUUUGGAUUACAACAGGAUCUCUAAUCAAUUGUAAUCUGGAAUUGGAAAUAUGGCCUAGGCGAUGAUGCCAUAAGUCAAAAAGGUGAUUGGUAUUUGUGGCACAAACAGAAUGCAAACUAUGAAUGUUAAAAGACUUGGAUAGUGUACACAUCAAGGCAUCUGGAGAUACUUCAACAUGCUUAAGAUGGUAGAGACCAUUCUUCAUUUCACCCAAUCCAAUCGUUGUCCACGACAUGAGGUCCUGCAGGAAACAAGCAGUGGAUAGGAAAACAAAGCAACAAGAGACAUUUCUGGUUAAUGUAGGAGCAGAAAGAAGGUUGAAAGUAAAUGAAGGAACACACAAAACAUUCUCAAGAGUAAUUAAUGUGGAGAGUUUGACAGUGCCUAUGUGUGUGACUGGAACCUCUUGACCAUUUGGAAGUUUAACAUUAUAAGACACAGUGGCUGUUACUGUUGUGAAAAAAACGGUGUUGCAGAUCAUAUGAUCUGUAGCUCCUGUGUCUAUGAUCCAAGGGACAUUAUUAAUAUCAAAAGAUUUAUGAGAGUAAGUAGAGAGGCAAGUUGUGAUACCAGACAUUGAUGGUAGACUCGUGAAGUUAGCCAUUGGAGGAUGAGUGUCUGCUGGAUUUUGUUUCUCAUGAAGCAACUGUAAGAUUUUCUGAUACUGAUUUGAAAUUAAGUUCAUCUUGUCAACUUGAUUCUUGGGAAAAUCUUCACCUACAAUGACGUUGGAUUGUCUAGCAUGUAUAUUUGGUCGUCUUCCCUUGUUAUGCAAUUUAUGGCCAGGAGGAUACCCCACUAACUUGUAACAUUUCUCUGCCAGAUGGCCACUCAUGUGACAGUGGCUGCAAGUAGGUGGUGUGGCAUUUCCUGCUUUAAAACAAUCUUCUAAGAGAUGCCCUUGAAUCUUGCAGUGUGGACAGUAGGGUCUGUUAAAUGACCUGAAGGUUGUGGAUGUGUUUUUGGCAAAAAAAGCCAUUGAUUCAGGAGUGGAUGCAUGAGAUAACAUCUGGUGUUGUUUCUCCUGCUGCUGAAUAAGAGAAAAUACUUUACUGACUUGUGGUAUGGGAUCCAUUAGCAUGAUCUGAUCCCUUACAUUGGAAUAUGUUUCAUUUAGACCCAUGAGAAACUGAAUUACACAAUCUUGUUGGUAUCGAUCAAUCAACAUCUUCAUCUGUCCACAAGAACACUCUGGCAAGGGACAAUGUAAGGUUAACUCAUCCCAAAUUGUUUUCAGCUUUCCAUAAUAAACACUGACUAAAUCAUUUCCCUGAGUUAAGUUGGCUAGAGCCCCUUUUAGUUGAAAUAUUCGUGGACCAUUUUGCUGGGUAAGUCUCUCACAAAGCUCAUUCCAAAUAUCAUAGGCAUUGUCAACAAGGAUGAAAGAAGACUUUACUGAAGAACUUACAGAGUUGUGAAUCCAUGAAACAAUCAUGUCGUUGCAUCUUUCCCAUGCUUCUAGAAGAGGAUCGUUGGGAUCUGAAGGUUUUGUGAUAUUGCCAUCAACAAAACCAAGUUUGUUCUUGGCUCUAAGGGCCCUCUUCAUGGCUCUUGCCCAAGUAACAUAGUUUUCUGUUGUUAAGAGAUCAGUCACCAAACCAAGAACUGACGUGUCACCAUGAUCAAGUCGGUAUGGAUUGUUUGGGUCAGAGAGGUUAUGGAAACGUGAGGUUGAUUUUGCAGUAAAUGGUGAUGUUUGUUGAUUUUCAGCAUCUUUUUCCAUUUUUAGUUAAAUGACCGAAGCUCUGAUACCAUGAAAGAAAUGUUGAGGGUUGCAGAGGCUGAAAACCAAAGAAAAAAGGAAGAAACAGAGAACAAAGACGUUUUGGGUGCUAACUUUCCAAUGCAGUUUUAUUAUUCUGAUUGUCUCAUUAACCUUACAAUGAAGAAACAGAAGGAAUAUAUAUACACGUAUCAAGGCUGAUGAGUCAGCCUUUCCCAUGCAAAAGGAAAUUAUUCCCACACCAGCAGCAUGGUUAACUAAGUUGUUAUAAAGGAAAAGAAUGCAUAACUGACUGUAGCUGAAAAACAGGGAAAACUAAUCAUCCUUUUUCUUUUAACAACUUUGCAUCCUCGUCCUUAUUCUUUAACAUAU
rnacentral:lncRNA from 1 species